rnacentral:rRNA from 1 species
AAAUUGAAGAGUUUGAUCAUGGCUCAGAUUGAACGCUGGCGGCAGGCCUAACACAUGCAAGUCGAACGGUAACAGGAAGCAGCUUGCUGCUUUGCUGACGAGUGGCGGACGGGUGAGUAAUGUCUGGGAAACUGCCUGAUGGAGGGGGAUAACUACUGGAAACGGUGGCUAAUACCGCAUAACGUCGCAAGACCAAAGAGGGGGACCUUCGGGCCUCUUGCCAUCAGAUGUGCCCAGAUGGGAUUAGCUUGUUGGUGAGGUAACGGCUCACCAAGGCGACGAUCCCUAGCUGG